GAUGAACGCUGGCGGCGUGCCUAAUACAUGCAAGUCGAACGCAUAGCGAAAGGUGCUUGCACCUUUCAAGUGAGUGGCGAACGGGUGAGUAACACGUGGACAACCUGCCUCAAGGCUGGGGAUAACAUUUGGAAACAGAUGCUAAUACCGAAUAAAACUUAGUGUCGCAUGACACAAAGUUAAAAGGCGCUUCGGCGUCACCUAGAGAUGGAUCCGCGGUGCAUUAGUUAGUUGGUGGGGUAAAGGCCUACCAAGACAAUGAUGCAUAGCCGAGUUGAGAGACUGAUCGGCCACAUUGGGACUGAGACACGGCCCAAACUCCUACGGGAGGCUGCAGUAGGGAAUCUUCCACAAUGGGCGAAAGCCUGUUGGAGCAACGCCGCGUGUGUGAUGAAGGCUUUCGGGUCGUAAAGCACUGUUGUAUGGGAAGAACAGCUAGAAUAGGAAAUGAUUUUAGUUUGACGGUACCAGACCAGAAAGGGACGGCUAAAUACGUG
rnacentral:rRNA from 1 species